GGUAAUUCCAGCUCCAAUAGCGUAUAUUAAAGUUGUUGCAGUUAAAAAGCUCGUAGUUGAAUUUCGGGGUUAGUAGGUUGGUCAUGCCUCUGGUAUGUACUGGUCUCACUGAUUCCUCCUUCCUGAUGAACCGUAAUGCCAUUAAUUUGGUGUUGCGGGGAAUUUGGACUGUUACUUUGAAAAAAUUAGAGUGUUUAAAGCAGGCAUUAGCUUGAAUACAUUAGCAUGGAAUAAUGAAAUAGGACGUUUGAUCUUAUUUUGUUGGUUUCUAGGAUCGACGUAAUGAUUAAUAGGGAUAGUUGGGGGCAUUAGUAUUCAAUUGUCAGAGGUGAAAUUCUUGGAUUUAUUGAAGACUAACUACUGCGAAAGCAUUUGCCAAGGAUGUUUUCAUUAAUCAAGAACGAAAGUUAGGGGAUCGAAGACGAUCAGAUACCGUCGUAGUCUUAACCAUAAACUAUGCCGACUAGGGAUCGGAUGAUGUUAUUUUUAAU
rnacentral:rRNA from 1 species